UAGCCGUAAACGAUACUCGCUAGGUGUCGGCCACGGUGCGACCGUUGUCGGUGCCGUAGGGAAGCCGUGAAGCGAGCCACCUGGGAAGUACGGCUGCAAGGCUGAAACUUAAAGGAAUUGGCGGGGGAGCACCACAACGGGUGGAGCUUGCGGUUUAAUUGGAUUCAACGCCGGAAAUCUUACCGGGACCGACAGCAACAUGAAGGCCAGGCUGAAGACUUUGCCGGAUUAGCUGAAGAGGAGGUGCAUGGCGUAGUCGUGU
rnacentral:rRNA from 1 species